AUGAAUUGUUCAGAAAAAAAUGCAUCACAUUUUGAAGAAAAUAUCAUGAAUUAUUCAGAAGAAAAUAAAUUAAAAAGUAAAGAAAAAUUAAAUUCCCAACUUUAUAAUUCUAAUAGUGCAUUCAGUGGAGUUGACAGUUUUAAUGAUUUCGAUGAUUCUGAUGAAUUGAAUCUGUUUGAUAACUUUAUUACACCUGACGGAUUAGCCUCACUUGAAGUACUAGCCGCAUCUGACAAAAUGGACGAAACUGAAGAAUUAGCUGAUAGUGAAGAAUCGGAUGGGAAUGAUAAACAAUAUCGUUUAUUCAAAAAAAAUGAAAGUACCGAUUUUACAAAAUAUAAAAACAUAAAUUUACUAAAUGAAGAAUAUACUAUAAUAAAUAGUGUACAAUUUAAAAAUACAUAUUUUCAUGAUGGUUCAUUAAAAAAUGAUAUACCUGCAAAUAAUUUAAAUCAAAUUUUAUCUGUAAAAUAUAAAAUAGUUUCACAAGUUAAUCCUCAUGUUUUUCCUUUCACUGGUUUAAGGGUACACGGAGAAGCAGGUAAUCCAGUCAAAUGGCGAGGUAACAGUGGUACAUGGAGAGCUGGAUUCUUAAUGUCCUCCAUGGAAAUAUUAUUUAAAGAAAAUAUGCGAUAUAUUUUAAGAUUAAUGGCUUUAUUAGAUUUAUCACCUACGGUUAGAGGAAUUAAUGCGGGACACAUUGGCAUGCAGAGCUAUAAUGGAGAUAUAACUUUACACCCCAAGAGACUAUAUAUGAAACAUUUUAAAUUAAUAAGUGUUUCAGACUAUGAUGAUGUUGAGUGGUAUAUACAAAAAGGGAGACAAAUGACGUAUCAGAAAUUGCCACUGAUUUUAAACAGAAUGAAAAUUGAAAAAAAAUUAAUGAAAAUGAAAAAAUUACUUUUAUGAAAAAAAAAAAAAAAAAAUUUUUUUUAUUUUAAAGCUUCAUUUUUUACAAAAAAAGAAAACAUAAUAUGAUAUAAUAAUUAUUUAUCAUAAAUGUUAUUAAAUAUAUAUUCAAAAAGGGGGCAAAUACUUUUUUCAAAUAAUGGUAAACUAUAUGUGUAUAUGUUUGUAUGUGUAUAUGUUUGAAUGUGUAUAUGCUUGUAUGUAUAUAUAUAUAUAUAUAUAUAUAUAUAUAUACUAUUACAUUUGACGAUAGUAAAAUCUAUUUUCCUUUUAUCCGAUAUAUACAUAUAUGUAUAAUAUAUGUAGAAAUGUACGUAAUCGCAUAAUAAAUAAAUAAAAUUUUAUUCUGAUUUUGCCUGU
rnacentral:lncRNA from 1 species